ACCGAAGAACUUUACUUACUCUUGACAUCCUCAGACUUUCCAGAGAUGAUUGGUGCCUUCGGGACCGAGUGACAGGUGCUGCAUGGCUGUCGUCAGCUCGUGUCGUGAGAUGUUGGGUUAAGUCCCGCAACGAGCGCAACCCUUACCAAUAAUUUGCCAUCAUUUGGUUGGGCACUUUAUUGGGACUGCCGGUGAUAAACCGGAGGAAGGUGGGGAUGACGUCAAGUCCUCAUGGCCCUUAUGGGUAGGGCUUCACACGUAAUACAAUGGUCGGUACAGAGGGUAGCCAACCCGCGAGGGGGAGCCAAUCCCAGAAAGCCGAUCGUAGUCCGGAUCGUAGUCUGCAACUCGACUACGUGAAGUCGGAUCGCUAUAUCGCGAUCAGCAGUCGCGGUG
rnacentral:rRNA from 1 species